CUUCGCCAUGUAAAGCCCCUUCGACGAGUCGAGUUGUUUGGGAAUGCAGCUCUAAAUGGGAGGUAAAUUUCUUCUAAAGCUAAAUAUUGGCCAGAGACCGAUAGCGCACAAGUAGAGUGAUCGAAAGAUGAAAAGCACUUUGGAAAGAGAGUCAAAAAGCACGUGAAAUUGUUGAAAGGGAAGCGCUUGCAGCCAGACUUGCCCGUAGUCGCUCAACUAGGCUUCUGCCUGGUGCACUCUUCUGCGGGCAGGCCAGCAUCAGUUCAGGCGGUCGGAUAAAGGUUUUGGGAAUGUGGCUCUCUUCGGGGAGUGUUAUAGCCCAGGAUGCAAUGCGACCAGCCUGGACUGAGGUCCGCGCAUCUGCUAGGAUGCUGGCGUAAUGGCUGUAAGCGGCCCGUCUUGAAACACGGACCAAGGAGUCUAACAUCUAUGCGAGUGUUUGGGUGUCAAGCCCGAGCGCGCAAUGAAAGUGAACGGAGGUGGGAACCCGCAAGGGCGCACCAUCGACCGAUCCUGAUGUCUUCGGAUGGAUUUGAGUAAGAGCAUAGCUGUUGGGACCCGAAAGAUGGUGAACUAUGCCUGAAUAGGGUGAAGCCAGAGGAAACUCUGGUGGAGGCUCGCAGCGGUUCUGACGUGCAAAUCGAUCGUCAAAUUUGGGCAUAGGGGCGAAAGACUAAUCGAACUAUCUAGUAGCUGGUUCCUGCCGAAGUUUCCCUCAGGAUAGCAGUAACGUUUUCAGUUUUAUGAGGUAAAGCGAAUGAUUAGAGGCCUGGGGGUUGAAACAACCUUCACCUAUUCUCAAACUUUAAAUAUGUAAGAAGUCCUUGUUAC
rnacentral:rRNA from 1 species